CCUGAGGCCAAUAGCAGAGAUGUCCUCACUUUUGCUACAACCUGCCUACUUGAUGUCUUCACUAAUGCUUAUGGAAGGUUCCUUGACUUAUGUAUGAUUUUUCUGUGACUGUGAAAGUUCCUAUUAUCAUUUCCACGGCAGGCCUUGACACGUAAGUGUCUGUUUGGGAGAAGGCACCUAGGAACUCACCACCAAACAAGGAAGCCCCUGUCCAGUUGAGUCCUCCAGUCUGCCCAGACCUCCAGUCAAGGCGACACCUACCACAGAGCCAGGGCUCUCUGUGGCAGGCAGGAAGCAUCAGCAGCUGGCUGAUAUGCUCUGACCUCUCAUCAGCUCCCUGGAAUCCAAACAGCCACAGAAAUAUUGGCCAGUCUGAUUGUCUGGACUUCAGAGUCUGAGCUCUGUGACUGCAGCCAGAUACACCUUCUGCACCUACAACAGAAGGUGACUCCAGGAUGAGAGUCUCAGCACACAGCAGAUUGACAUCAAGCAACAGCAAGGAGACAGUGCCCUCUGGCCUCAAGCACCAACCAGGAGUUCACCGUGCUGCUAUAAGGUCCUGCUGCCACCAGGACGGAAGGAGUUGUCUAGGGAACAGGGUAGGAGGAUCUGCUUAGAGGCCAAGAGUUGUAUUCUGACUGGGAUGCUAAUGUUCCGGUGACCUCAGCCAAGUCCUGCAAAUUGUUACUAUCUGCAAAGUGGAGAUAAAGGACAGCCUUGCCCAUCCCGCAGGACGUCGGGAGGAGACUAAUUAGAGAGCUCAUUUGAGAUUCAAAGUACUUUGCAGCCCACAAGGAAAGUGUUGGAAGAACAAAGAAAACCUUGCAGCUCUGCUCCUGCAGUCUGGGGACCACACCAAAGACUCUCCCAGGAAUCCAUCUGUUGGAGCACCAGUGUUUGUUAAUUAACUGGUAUUAGGAAGUCAUUGUGGCUACCAGGGGUUAAUGGAAAGACUGAAGUUACUGAGAUGGGUCUAUGGAGGUGUAAAGCAGGGGUUCCUUUGUUGAAGGAGAAGAAGGGGUGCCUAAGCUAAGCAUCAGGCUGCCUGGAGUUAGAGGCCCAGUAUCUUCUAGAAAUUCCAAGUAGGUUGCCUGCAAUAUAGACAUGUUUCCUUUCAUUGUAAAAAAAACCAAAAGGAAAAGAAAUCUAUUAAUUUUUUUUACUAUAUCUAAAACAAGAUUGUUUUAAGAAAAAAGGAAAACAAAUUCAUUGAGAUGCCAUCAUCAGUAAUCCUUUUGUGUGGGUGCCCCCACACACACGCGCGCGCGCACACACACACACACACACACACACACACACACACACCACAGCCAAAUCACUUGUCUAGCAAGAGCCAGCAUGAUAUUCAGGGAUCCUUCCAGAAGAGUCUGGAGACCACCAAAGGUGAAGAGAAUGGGAGUUGCAGAGUGAAUGGAAUCGAUUCCCUGAGUUUCCAAAGCAUGGCUCUGUGUCGCAGGACGAGCCCAGUGAGCGGAUGGGACAUCAUUCUCAUAAACUCUCGCCAGUGAGAUGCUUGUCUUUUCGUCAAUGCUCCCUUCUGGCAAUGUAGUCCAUGGAAGCUAUAGGACAGAGACAAAGGGAUGUUACUAAAGAUCCAAGGGCCUUGCUCCCUGAGCUGUGUGCUACCUUUCUCUCCCGAGUAGGGGCUCAGAUGCAUCUACCCACCCCAAGCAUUCUGGUUGGAUACUGCUCUAUAGAGGCAAAGCAUGAAACACCACGAUGGGGUUCAGAACACCACGUCAUCCCAAAACAUGGGUCCUCAGAACUUGAAGAAAUCAAGAGACAGGAAAGAUGCUGUGGCCUCCAAUGUUCUUCCUAGAAGGAGCGAAGAAAAGAAUAAUAUAAGGAAGGCUCGGGAAACUCUCAGAGCUAGAUUGCUGUCAUCAGCCAACAUGGGGGUUUUACUACACUUUAGUCAGUCUUGGAUUCUGGGGCCUGGGCUGCUGAUGGGGCUGACAGAAGAACCCUCCUUAUGAGAACAUCCUUAAGGAAGGUAAAGCCAUCCUUUCCUUCCCUUCCCUAAGCUUUCCAGGUCUUUGAAGGUCUCAGAGAGCAUACUGGGUAGAUUGCUAAACAAUGUCUGACAGACAGAAGUCAUAGGUAACGUCUGCUACCAGCCCCUUCCAACAUAAGGGGACCAUAGACAUUAGGUGCGUACAGCACUGCCUCUCCAAAGACGAAAUUGAGAGGAGGGGGGAGAGUGGAUGGCACAUGGGAAUCCAUUGCCACCACACAUAACAUAUACUGCACAUAACAUACACUGCACAUAACAUCUCCAAGAUGCUCAGGCCAUUGGUUCUGCCCUCACUCACUCCGGUGCUUUCCUGGUACCCUCCUACAUCCUUGUCUUUGAACUUUUGCCUCUGUCUUCCUCUGCUCACUUAGACAUCUCCACUCCUUUCUGCCCUGGCUGGCCAGUUGCCUCUCAUCAAUGGAGAAGGGAGAUGGAAGCCUGACUUAGUGAGUCCCAGACCUGCCACUCCUGUAGGGAACAGGAAAUGUGUGCCUGCUUCUUAUCUCACACAAACUUUUGCACACACACACCCUGCCCCCAACCCUGGCCUUGGUAUCCCAACAAAGCAGCACUUUUGCUGAAUGAAGCCUACCUGGUGGUUUCCCCCAGGCCAGCACUUUUACUGCACGUACCAUUCCUUUGUCCCCCCAACCCUAAAGAACAAUGCCCUCACUACAACCCGUGUGAGAUCUUGCUCUAUUUCUUCUUCAAAUGACAAGACAUACUAUCGCCCACACUGCCUUUACUGUUUUUCAUAGUCUAGCUCUGCCCUUUCUAAAGCAUUUCUCAUGACCUUUCAAACCCUACCAUGGUCAUGGUGCCACUGGCCUCUUUCCUUUAUAAUGCACAGCAUGGAAGCUAACCCCUUCUCAGAAACUCUUUACUUGCUUCUGUGUGACCCAUGGACCUCUAGCACUGUGAGCAAACUCACACUGAUGAGUGUCCCCUAAUCAUCUUUUCUGAAGACCCUGUCCAUAUCGUAGAAGCCCUACUAGUCUCACAACUAGAUGGCAUCCCAUUUUCUGGGACCCACUUCUUCUUUACAGGAGUUCUGUCUUGUUUUUCUUGCCUAUAAUCCUGUAAUAAAGCUUCUUUCUAAACUC